rnacentral:lncRNA from 1 species
UUAGGGCACCAGAUCCAACACUUUACCUUUACAACCAUGUUAUGCAUGGAUUUAAAGCCAACAUCACACCAUCUCAAGUAUAAAAAAGUCAAGAAAUUUACAGCUCAAAUUGCCAUACACAAGGAGAAAUUUUGGCAACAUGUUCACUACACACUCUCCUCAGCUUGUUGGAUUAAAUCAUUCCUUUGUAUUUGUAACACCCCAUACCUGACCCGAUCGUCGGGUUCAAGCUACAGCAUGUCACAUUCGUUGUCGGAGUAACUGCGAGUAAUAUAUGCACAUAGGAUGAUAUAUAAUCAUUUCCAAGUCUUCUACAAGCUUACAAAAGCUCUAUUGCUAACCCGAGGUUGAAUUAGGACCAAAUUGUAAUGUUUUUCAAAAUCUUGAGUUGACAUAGCGACUUUAGGGGUUCCUCAUCGCAAUGCAACUCAUUAACUAGGUCUCGUCACGACGAAAAAUGCUCGAUGCCGCAACAUGUUUGCAAUUGAUCCAAAUUGUACCAAUUCAAAAUGGCCUAACCAAUUAGUCAAGCUCAUUAUCAACCUAAUAAGGACAUAAAAUCACAUAUUAGUACUUCAUAUACUACCUUAAAUGCUUCAUCCUAAUAAAUUCAUCAAAUUGACCAUACAAUUCAAGAACUAAUCUUAACAUACAUGUCCAUUUCUAUUAAUUGGAUCAUUCAAACCAUAGGCCUUAUAUAGUUGCAUAAGAAAACUUAGCAAUUCAACUAAUAUGCUCAUUACAUUUUCUACAUUAACCAUUUCCAAAUUACCAAUUCUAACUUCAAACAUUCACAAAAUAGCAUAUUAUACCAAAAAUUGACUUGACAUAGGUAUAUGCCAUAUAUUUAACAAAACGAAACUAUACAAACAUUGAUGAGUUAAGGAUCUCCGGCUGGUUGCUGAAACCACUUCUUCUAACCUCGAGAAUAACCUAUACCUACACAUAAAUAAAAUAAACCGUACGAUGAGAAAUAAAGCUGAGCGGUAUUUCUAUUAUUCAAGUCACAAAAUGAACAUAUUCAAUAUAAGAAUUCAAUCCAAAUAUGCCAUAAUUCGACCAAAUCAAUUCACAAAUCAAUACUCAAAUACCAUUAUUAUACACCAUUCAAUUAACAAUCAUGCUAUACUGAACAUUCUAUUAACAAAGAUAUAGUCAUUUCCAUUUCAAAUUCACAUACUUAUGAAUGCAUCAUUAUGACAUUCAAUCUUAUUUCAUCCAAUGUUAUUUAAUCAUUCAUUUUAUAAUUAACUUUUCUUUAUCAAGUCUACUAACUCGUUCAAGUUUGAUUCUGCCCUAGUGCUCGUAUAAAUCGAUUCGCACGGUCUUCACAUGUUAUCGUAUAUCACAUUUCACAUGUAAUCAAAUAUACCAAAUCCAAUCACAAUUCAUAUCAAUUACCAUGUAGCCAAUCUAUUUUUCUUUUAUAAUACCAAUUUGUAUUAUCAAUUCAAUUCCAAUAUCGUUCAUCCAAAUCAUACUUUAUAUGCCCUAUUAACCGAACUUGGACUCAAGAUGGAUAUACAGAUUAACCAACCAACACACCAAUUUGGCACCACAGUGUAUCAAUAGAUAAAUCAAAAUAAAUAUACUGGCACACAUAGUGCAUCAUCGGAUUAACCGAAGCAAUCAUACUGGCACACAUAGUGCAUCAUCGGAUAAAUCGAAACAAAUAUAUUGACAUAAAUAAUGCAUCAUUGGCCAAACCGAAGUAUAAAACAAAAUCUAAUCCUAUGACAUGUAAACUAUAUCUGACUUUGCCCGAACAGUUAAUAGGGUAACCAAUUUUUCAUUUUCGUCACAUGGUUCAAUUCACGUUCCAUCACUCUCAAUUCAUCAUCAAUUCACCAUUUCAACACAUAAUAUAACAUGCUUCAACUCAAUUUCAUACCAAUUUUCACAUAUCAAUUAAAUCAUGUUACUUUCUAUUUUGUUCAAUUUAGUUCUCCAUCUCAAUAUACCAUUUCAAUAACCACAGUUUAAUUCAUACAACCAUUAUAUACUCACCUCAUUACUAAAUCAUGCAAUUUAACAUGAAUAUGCAAUAAUUAGAUUGAUCUCGAAUCAUAGAAAUACAAACCGAAAGCUCGCAUCACUCAUCGUCGGCUCUCGCCUUUCCUUUCUCUCUUGAUGGCUCAACAUCGUCUUUAGAGAAAAAUAUAAAUAUUUUUAAAAAAGAAAAAAUAUUAUCAAUAGUAUAAAUAAAAAAAUAAAAAAUAUAUAAAAUUUUAAAAAAAUCAAUUUACUUCUAAACCCAAAAAAAAUUGUGUUCUAAUAGUUAUCUUCUUCUUGUAAAAGAAUUCAUUAUAAAACAAACUGUGUUUGUAGAGAAAAAGCACUGAGAGAAGACAUGAUUUAGGUCUGAUCUAAAGAGGAGCCAGCAGCUUUCACAAUGAGAGAAAUGCCAUAGUCAAUCAUUUGCAAUAUUUUUUGAAAAAGAUGUGUUCAUGAUAAGCUAAAUGUUCAGAUUCAUGCUAUGGUGAUCGGUCCAUAUAAAUGAAGUCCGGGGAAAAUUAUGAUGGAUCAGAAAGAGAAAUUUAUACCUUUUUCUCCGCCAUACACAAACAUUGGCCAAGAAAUCGUUUCUUUUGUCACCAUAUUCCUAAGACCUAAAAUACCACCAGCAGUCGUUAUUGUGAUAAUUUUUGAAGCUACUAAAAAACAAGAAAGAAGAUUAGAGCCUUAGAGUUGAAAAAACCUUUGCCCAACCCAAAAUCUGCAAGUUUCAUAGAUCCGCUUGUAUCCACCAAUAUGUUUGCGCACUUAACAUCCCUGUAUCAACAAACAAGCAACUAAUUCAAGUUCAUAGUACUUAAGCAUAACAUAGAACAAACAAUUUUUACCCACGCAGAAUCUUUCUUGUAUAUGCAGAGGCUUGAGAAUCCCUAAGAUGAUACCUCUGAUAUAGUUUCAAAAGGAAGCCUUUGGUUACAAGCUAAAAGGGUCAUCCCAAGGUAUUCAACAACCCCACUUACAUGCAUUAGCAUUCAUUCAAUACUUGCCAUUGAACUCACAACCCUUUUCUUGUUUUGGCAUUAACGCCUAUAAUCUCUCUCUAGAGGCUAUUUAAACAUAAACUUUGGCAUUAACGCC